CAACAGGGAUUGCCCUAGUAACGGCGAGUGAAGCGGCAACAGCUCAAAUUUGAAAUCUGGCCCCCCGGCCCGAGUUGUAAUUUGUAGAGGAUGCUUCUGGGUAGCGACCGGUCUAAGUUCCUUGGAACAGGACGUCAUAGAGGGUGAGAAUCCCGUAUGCGACCGGCCCGCGCCCUCCACGUAGCUCCUUCGACGAGUCGAGUUGUUUGGGAAUGCAGCUCUAAAUGGGAGGUAAAUUUCUUCUAAAGCUAAAUACCGGCCAGAGACCGAUAGCGCACAAGUAGAGUGAUCGAAAGAUGAAAAGCACUUUGGAAAGAGAGUUAAAAAGCACGUGAAAUUGUUGAAAGGGAAGCGCUUACAACCAGACUUUGGGGCGGUGUUCCGCCGGUCUUCUGACCGGUCUACUCUCCGUCCCGAGGCCAACAUCAUCUGGGACCGCCGGACAAGACCUCAGGAAUGUGGCUCCCCUCGGGGAGUGUUAUAGUCCUGUGGUGAUGCGGC
rnacentral:rRNA from 1 species